UGCCUAAUACAUGCAAGUAGAACGCUGAAGAGAGGAGCUUGCUCUUCUUGGAUGAGUUGCGAACGGGUGAGUAUCGCGUAGGUAACCUGCCUUGUAGCGGGGGAUAACUAUUGGAAACGAUAGCUAAUACCGCAUAACAAUGGAUGACACAUGUCAUUUAUUUGAAAGGGGCAAAUGCUCCACUACAAGAUGGACCUGCGUUGUAUUAGCUAGUAGGUGAGGUAACGGCUCACCUAGGCGACGAUACAUAGCCGACCUGAGAGGGUGAUCGGCCACACUGGGACUGAGACACGGCCCAGACUCCUACGGGAGGCAGCAGUAGGGAAUCUUCGGCAAUGGGGGCAACCCUGACCGAGCAACGCCGCGUGAGUGAAGAAGGUUUUCGGAUCGUAAAGCUCUGUUGUAAGUCAAGAACGAGUGUGAGAGUGGAAAGUUCACACUGUGACGGUAGCUUACCAGAAAGGGACGGCUAACUACGUGCCAGCAGCCGCGGUAAUACGUAGGUCCCGAGCGUUGUCCGGAUUUAUUGGGCGUAAAGCGAGCGCAGGCGGUUUGAUAAGUCUGAAGUUAAAGGCUGUGGCUCAACCAUAGUUCGCUUUGGAAACUGUCAAACUUGAGUGCAGAAGGGGAGAGUGGAAUUCCAUGUGUAGCGGUGAAAUGCGUAGAUAUAUGGAGGAACACCGGUGGCGAAAGCGGCUCUCUGGUCUGUAACUGACGCUGAGGCUCGAAAGCGUGGGGAGCGAACAGGAUUAGAUACCCUGGUAGUCCACGCCGUAAACGAUGAGUGCUAGGUGUUGGAUCCUUUCCGGGAUUCAGUGCCGCAGCUAACGCAUUAAGCACUCCGCCUGGGGAGUACGACCGCAAGGUUGAAACUCAAAGGAAUUGACGGGGGCCCGCACAAGCGGUGGAGCAUGUGGUUUAAUUCGAAGCAACGCGAAGAACCUUACCAGGUCUUGACAUCCCGAUGCUAUUUCUAGAGAUAGAAAGUUACUUCGGUACAUCGGUGACAGGUGGUGCAUGGUUGUCGUCAGCUCGUGUCGUGAGAUGUUGGGUUAAGUCCCGCAACGAGCGCAACCCCUAUUGUUAGUUGCCAUCAUUCAGUUGGGCACUCUAGCGAGACUGCCGGUAAUAAACCGGAGGAAGGUGGGGAUGACGUCAAAUCAUCAUGCCCCUUAUGACCUGGGCUACACACGUGCUACAAUGGUUGGUACAACGAGUUGCGAGUCGGUGACGGCAAGCUAAUCUCUUAAAGCCAAUCUCAGUUCGGAUUGUAGGCUGCAACUCGCCUACAUGAAGUCGGAAUCGCUAGUAAUCGCGGAUCAGCACGCCGCGGUGAAUACGUUCCCGGGCCUUGUACACACCGCCCGUCACACCACGAGAGUUUGUAACACCCGAAGUCGGUGAGGUAACCUUUUGGAGCCAGCCGCCUAAGGUGGGAUAGAUGAUUGGG
rnacentral:rRNA from 1 species